rnacentral:lncRNA from 8 species
AUGCGCUGCUUAAGUCAGAGAGACGUGGCUCCUGUCUGGAGCCUUAGUCUGGAAAAUGAAUCCAUCAUCAUAUAUGGCAGUCUGGUGGCGUGGCAAGCUUGUUUGAAAUCAGUGUGGAUCUGCAUGAAAUUCGAAGUUGUUUCCAUGCGGUUUAAGGUGCGGAACAUUGACUUUAAAAGGUUAACUCUUAAAAAAAGGGACAAUGGUCAUCUUUCACUUUAUUUCCCAAUAAUCUUCCCUUCCUUGUCUCCAUCCCCUCUUGAUUGUAGUUAGGUGGGAGAACAGGAUAGCUUUUCAGAUUUCACCAUAUUUCUUUCAUGCAUCAAGACUCUCAGACUUUGGUUAAGGUUGGAGACAAGUAGCUGAUGCAUAUUGGGACACUUGGUCCCAAUCUCAGUGUUGGACUUUUCUCUUUCCUGUAACUCGAGUAUCCCUGCACCUCCCUGCUUUCACUGAUCUUCUCCAGCUGUUUUCCUCUGUGCUGUUUUCCAGCCAUUUUCUCUUGCCCUUUCAUGUGGGUUGUAGUUCAGGAGCCAUCUGGUGAGUCAGAUGUGUGGGAGACAGCAUUUCCCCUUAAUGAGAAUUCCAGGCAAGCUUUGGGUGGGUCUCAUACAGAGGAGGCUGGUGGGAGGAGCUAUAGGAGGACAGACUCAUUGUCAUGUCUGGAAUGGAAUUAAUGGAACUGAGUCAAACACGUGGUUUCCAUAUGUUUGACUCCAUUCUAUUUAAUCCAUUCCAAUGAGCCCGCCCUCCUAUAGCUCCUUCCACCAGCCUCCUCUGGUGUCAUGUACAGCAAUGCACAGCAAUGUACCAAGUCUGCUAGGCUGGGUUGACUGAGGUUUGCCAACCAUCCACCUGAGUGAAUCACGUUAUGUUGAAAAAUGCUAUUAACCUCAGUCUUUGAAGUUAUAAAGUGCAUUUUCUUAGUCACAUGUAGGAACCGAUCCAAUGAAUCAUGUUUAUAUAGGUUUAGAUAGCAGUAUGUAAGGAACGGCCUUUUGGAGCUCACUUCAGACCGGUGCUUAUGCAUUGAAUUUUGACUGUGACCUCUCCAUCUUGCUGACAAUAGAGUGCUUCAUUUAAUAUUGACUUCCUGUGUAAAAAUGUCCACAAUAAAGUUUAUAGUAUGCAUUUCUGCAUGUCAUUGCCUGUUUUCUAUCACUCAUCUCAUUCUGAGGAAAGAUUCAGCCAGAUACACAUCACAGGUGCACGCUUCAGUAAGACAAGACCCCCCACUUAAACAAACACGCCAAUCUCUAGAGGAAAACAAACCUAAUGAAUCAUUGCCAGAGAAUUGAAUGAAAAACAUGGUUCUCACUUAUACUAAAACUCCACCAACCCCUUCUGUCUCAUUCCUCUCUCUCGUCUCUCACUCUCGGUGUGUUUUGAUAGCAGUCUAUUUGCUCAGCGUGGCGUCUGUCUGUUUCUCCUUUUUCUGUGUGUUUGUUUGCCGUCCAGCUUGGAGGAGCUUUAGACUGUUCAUCCCCUUGGUGCGCUUCUUUCCCCAACAGGCUUUGCUGUAGUAGCCCAGGCAGCUGCCAGUGGGCUGGAUGAUUUUAGAUUUUUAUUGGGAUCCCCAUUAGACGACACCAAUGGCGACAGCUAGUCUUCCUGUUCUGGGACUGAAGAGACCCCUGGUGGCUUAAACACAUCAAAUAUGGAAACACACGUUUGACGCCAUUCCAUUUCAGACAUUACAAUCAGCUCGUCCUCCUAUAGCUCCUCCCACCCAAUUUGGAAAUGAACACUACAUUUCUCACAAAAACAAGAAUUGAUGCAGUUAAUCUCUCAUCAACCCUCAACCAGGAAAGACUGGCAUGGAUGUUGUCGAUGAGACCUGGGCCAUCCACAUUUCACACCUGAUUGAUGUCCGAAGCUUUUUGGUUUGUGUUGUGGCUGUGUCAUAGGGCUUGGUCGAUACCUCUGCCUAACAAGGGUCGGCUCCUAACCCUCUUAUGAUUGGAUAUAAAAAGGUAAUUCUUCCAGUCACAUACUGUUUGUAGGUUCCGUAAUAACUCUAGUUCAAAGGGGGAAUGACUCUCCUUUGCAGAACUGGUUCAUUGUUUUUCCACAUAAAGCGUUGGAGAUAUUUUGCUAUUCUUGUCACUCAUGAAUAAAAUAUACCUGUGUCUGCUGGGUAGAGUGAAUGGGGUCAUUACUUCUAUCCCACCUCUGCUGCAUACAGCACACAUGCACACACACACACAUUAAAUGCCUGUCUGUACAUAACAUAGCUAAUUUGUCCCACUUCUGGCAAACAAAACAUUCCAAACCAUGGUUGAGAGAUGUAAGCUAGUCCCCAUAUCUCCUCGCCCAUAAGUACACUGUAUUGACUGGUAUAUUGUAUUAUGCUAAAGUGGAUGGCAGUACACAGCAUGAGUGGGCCUGGGGCUACAGUAUGUCAGGGGCCAGAAUAACACAGAGCCUCACCCAGCUGAGCCUGUCACUGUGGCCCAGUGCCGUUUUAUGUUGCUUCUAUCCCAAAAUUCCCUCAUACCCUUUCUAUCCUUAUUGCUCACACUAGUGUCAUACAUGAGUUUUCCUAUGGGGUUGUUCCAUCUCAAAAAGCACGAGAAUUUUGAGAGGAUUUAGUCAGAACAUGGUAAUAUCUAGAUGUAGGAUGGGACAUAAAUAAACCUAAAAACUUGAAUGACUAAUUUCUCUGAACAGGGGAAAAAAAACGUCGCCAAAUUCACUGGGAAUACAUUACUUAGGAUGACCAUACUACUUGUCAGACAUAGAGAACUGAUUGGUGUGGAGGGUCCAUGGGUGGCUUUUGAACAGUUCUUUGGAUUCCUCAUGUGUAACUCAUUGUUAGAAAAAGGUUUAAUCCAAAUUGGAUGUUGGAGACUAUAUUCAUUGAAUAUUAUAUGAAUCCUAUGAAUCAAAAAGACCAAUUGGAUGCAAUCAAUUAGCUUACUUUCUCAGAUUAAUUUCUCAAAUAAUUUUUCAACAAAAUAAUGUUGCAGGAAAGCUAAUUUGAUCUGUUUCUAACAGAAACAAUUUCAGAGCGAUGUGAGAUGGUGGGUGUCAUGGCUUGCUGAAAUGACAUGGAAU